rnacentral:rRNA from 1 species
UGGGGAAUAUUGCGCAAUGGGCGAAAGCCUGACGCAGCAACGCCGCGUGCGGGAUGAAGGCCUUCGGGUUGUAAACCGCUUUCAGCAGGGAAGAAGCGAAAGUGACGGUACCUGCAGAAGAAGCACCGGCUAACUACGUGCCAGCAGCCGCGGUAAUACGUAGGGUGCAAAGCGUUGUCCGGAUUUAUUGGGCGUAAAGAGCUCGUAGGCGGUUAGUCACGUCGGAUGUGAAAACCCAGUGCUUAACACUGGGCCUGCAUUCGAUACGGGCUGACUAGAGUGUUGUAGGGGAGACUGGAACUCCUGGUGUAGCGGUGAAAUGCGCAGAUAUCAGGAAGAACACCGGUGGC